AAACGCGGUCCGGGUGACGCCCUCCGGAGACGCGGCGGUCCGCCAGUUGUUCCGUUCCCCGGGCGGAAGUGCGCGCCCCGCACUUGGCUGCGUACGGGCUGGCAACAUGGUGGCUCCCGAGCUGGAGAUCUGUCAUGUGUUUUGCUGCCCGAACCGGGUGCGGGGAGCCGUGAGCUGGAGCUCCGGGCCCGGAGGACUGCUGGCCUUCGGCACAUCCUGCUCCGUGGUUCUCUAUGACCCUCAGAAAAGAGUUGUUGUUACCAACUUGAAUGGUCAUACUGCUCGAGUCAAUUGCGUACAAUGGAUUAAUAAACAGGAUGGUUCUUCUUCUACUGAAUUAGUUUCUGGAGGAUCUGAUAAUCAAGUGAUUCUCUGGAAAGUAGAGAAUAAUCAGCUUUCUAAAACAGUCUGUCUCCCCGGCCAUGAAGGACCUGUCUGCGCUGUGCGUGCGGUUUACCUGAGGGAUGCCGCGGAUGCCACAUGCGGCAUACUCAUAGCUUCUGCAGCAUCGGAUUCAACUGUUCGACUUUGGUCUGAAAAGGAUUCAGAAAUAAUGUGCCUUCAGGUCUUGGACUUUGAAGAUGGAUUUACUCUGGCGCUCUCCUUAUCUUUUUUACCUAAUACUAAAGUACCAAUAUUGGCGUGUGGUGGUGAUGACUGCAAAAUUCACUUAUUUGUUCAGCAAAACGAUCAGUUUCAGAAAAUGCUUUUUCUCCGUGGACAUGAGGAUUGGAUAAGAGGCGUAGAAUGGGCAGCAUUUGGUAGUGAUCUUUUCCUAGCAAGUUGUUCACAAGAUUGCCUGAUAAGAGUAUGGAAGCUGUAUUUAAAAACAACCUCUCCAGAAGCUCAGAAUGAUGAUACUGUAAGGCUGAAGGAAAAUACUUUCACCAUAGAAAAUGAAAGUGUGAAGGUGUCAUUUGCAGUGACUCUGGAGACUGUGCUAGCUGGUCAUGAAAACUGGGUGAAUGCAGUUCACUGGCAGCCAGCAUUUCACAAAGGUGGUGUUCUACAGCAACCAAUGAGAUUAUUAUCUGCCUCAAUGGAUAAAACCAUGAUUCUCUGGGCUCCAGAUGAAGAGUCCGGAGUUUGGCUGGAACAGGUUCGAGUAGGUGAAGUAGGUGGGAAUACCCUCGGAUUUUACGAUUGCCAGUUCAAUGACGAUGGAUCCAUGAUCAUUGCUCAUGCAUUCCAUGGAGCAUUGCACCUUUGGCAACAGAAUACAGUUAACCCGAAGGAGUGGACUCCAGAGAUUGUCAUUUCAGGACACUUUGAUGGUGUCCAAGACCUACUGUGGGAUCCAGAAGGAGAAUUUAUCAUCACUGUUGGUACUGAUCAGACAACACGACUUUUUGCUCCGUGGAAGAGAAAAGGCGAAUCACAGGUGACUUGGCAUGAAAUUGCAAGGCCUCAGAUACAUGGUUAUGACCUGAAAUGUUUGGCAAUGAUUAAUCGGUUUCAGUUUGUAUCUGGAGCAGAUGAAAAAGUCCUUAGAGUUUUUUCUGCACCUCGGAAUUUUGUGGAAAAUUUUUGUGCCAUUACUGGACAGUCUCUGAAUCAUGUGCUUUGUAAUCAACACAGUGAUCUUCCAGAAGGAGCCACUGUCCCUGCAUUGGGAUUAUCAAAUAAAGCCAUCUUUCAGGGAGAUAUAUGUCCUCAGCCUUCUGCUGAAGAGGAGCUGUUAACCAGCACUGGCUUUGAGUAUCACCAGAUGGCCUUUCAACCCUCUCUACUUACUGAACCUCCCACUGAAGAUCAUCUUCUGCAAAAUACUUUGUGGCCCGAAGUUCAAAAACUAUAUGGACAUGGUUAUGAGAUAUUUUCUGUUGCUUGUAACAAUGCAAAGACUCUGCUUGCCUCAGCUUGUAAGGCAGCUAAGAAAGAACAUGCAGCCAUCAUUCUUUGGAACACCACAUCUUGGAAACAGGUGCAGAAUUUGGUUUUCCACAGUUUGACUGUCACGCAAAUGGCCUUCUCGCCUAAUGACCAGUUCUUACUAGCUGUUUCCAGAGAUCGAACCUGGUCUUUAUGGAAAAGACAAGAUAUAAUCUCAACUGAGUUUGAGCCGGUGUUCAGUCUCUUUGCCUUCACCAACAAGAUCACGUCUGUGCACAGUAGAAUCAUUUGGUCUUGUGACUGGAGUCCCGAUAGCAAGUAUUUCUUCACUGGGAGUCGGGACAAAAAGGUGGUGGUCUGGGGUGAGUGUGACUCCAGUGAUGACUGCAUCGAGCACCCCAUCGGCCCCUGCUCCUCGGUCCUGGAUGUUGGGGGCUCUGUGACAGCUGUCAGUGUGUGCCCAGUGCUUAACCCUUCCCAGAGAUAUGUGGUUGCAGUGGGAUUGGAGUGUGGAAAGAUCUACUUGUACAGCUGGAAAAAGACCAAUCAAGUUCCAGAAGUGAAUGACUGGAUCUGCUGUGUGGAGACAAGUCAAAGCCAAAAUCAUACGCUUGCUAUCACAAAGCUGUGCUGGAAGAACUGCAGUGAAAGCUGUGAACAGAAUGAAGACGACACCGAAUGGUUGUACUUUGCCAGUUGUGGUGAAGAUCACACUGUGAAGAUACACAGAGUUAACAGAUGUGCACUGUAGGGGACUUAACAACUACAUGCUUACAAUCACUGAAGACUACAAGACUUGCCAUGAACUGUCUACCUCGACCAUGCGGGAGCCACGUUGUUUCCCCAGAGCCAGCUCACGAACUUCACUGAGGACCUCAUGAACAACGUUUAU